rnacentral:rRNA from 1 species
CAAUAGCGUAUAUUUAAGUUGUUGCAGUUAAAAAGCUCGUAGUUGGAUUUCGGAUGGGAUUUGCCGGUCCGUCGUUACGAUGUGCACUGGCCAGUCCUAUCUUGUUGUCGGGGACUAGCUCCUUGGAUUCACUUCCUGGGACUAGGAGCUGACGAGGUUACUUUGAGUAAAUUAGAGUGUUCAAAGCAAGCCUACGCUCUGAAUACAUUAGCAUGGAAUAACACGAUAGGACUCUGGCUUAUCUUGUUGGUCUGUGAGACCAGAGUAAUGAUUAAGAGGGGCAGUCGGGGACAUUCGUAUUUCAUUGUCAGAGGUGAAAUUCUUGGAUUUAUGAAAGACGAACUUCUGCGAAAGCAUUUGACAAGGAUGUUUUCAUUAA